UUCUUGAUUCAGAUCUUGAUGGUUCAGUAAUCAGUCUUAGAUUGCUUUGUAACAAGGAUCAAGUAAAUAGUACGAAGAUAAUACAAACCAAGGGAGGGUUGUUGGCCCAUUAUUACGGUGAGGAAGUAUAAAUCAGGGAAAUGGAUUGUUACAGAACUUGAAGCGAAACAAUCUAUCUUUAGGAAGAAUACUCUCUCCGUCCCAUAAAUAGGUUAGUGAUAAAAGCAUGUGAAGCCGACAAUUGCCUUCUAGUUUCAUCUCAUUGUUAGUUUGCAUUGGCUUUGGAAGAGA